rnacentral:rRNA from 1 species
GAUGAACGCUGGCGGCGUGCUUAACACAUGCAAGUCGAACGAUGAAAGCGGGAGCUUGCUCCUGCUGGAUUAGUGGCGAGCGGGUGAGUAACACGUGAGUAAUCUGCCCUUGACUCUGGGAUAAGCGUUGGAAACGACGUCUAAUACCGGAUACGACCUUCGGAGGCAUCUCCUGGGGGUGGAAAGAAUUUCGGUCAAGGAUGGACUCGCGGCCUAUCAGCUAGUUGGUGAGGUAAGGGCUCACCAAGGCGACGACGGGUAGCCGGCCUGGGAGGGUGACCGGCCACACUGGGACUGAGACACGGCCCAGACUCCUACGGGAGGCAGCAGUGGGGAAUAUUGCACAAUGGGCGCAAGCCUGAUGCAGCAACGCCGCGUGAGGGACGACGGCCUUCGGGUUGUAAACCUCUUUUAGUAAGGAAGAAGGGGAGCUUGCUCCUUGACGGUACUUGCAGAAAAAGGACCGGCUAACUACGUGCCAGCAGCCGCAGUAACAC